rnacentral:ribozyme from 1 species
UGCUCAGCAACUCCAAUCCCUAACUCCUCGUAGUACCGGCUGGAAACUAUUAGCAACCUUAGGCUGACAGGGAAGG